rnacentral:ncRNA from 17 species
GCUGAUAUGGCUCAGUUGGUAGAGCGCACCCUUGGUAAGGGUGAGGUCCCCAGUUCGACUCUGGGUAUCAGCA